GGAAUAUUGGGCAAUGGGGGGAACCCUGACCCAGCAACGCCGCGUGAGGGAAGAAGGGUUUCGGCUCGUAAACCUCUGUCCUAUGGGACGAAGGAAGUGACGGUACCAUAGGAGGAAGCCCCGGCUAACUACGUGCCAGCAGCCGCGGUAAUACGUAGGGGGCGAGCGUUGUCCGGAAUGAUUGGGCGUAAAGGGCGCGUAGGCGGCCUGAUAAGUCUGGAGUGAAAGUCCUGCUUUCAAGGUGGGAAUUGCUUUGGAUACUGUCGGGCUGGAGUACAGGAGAGGAAAGCGGAAUUACCAGUGUAGCGGUGAAAUGCGUAGAGAUUGGUAGGAACACCAGUGGCGAAGGCGGCUUUCUGGACUGAAACUGACGCUGAGGCGCGAAAGCGUGGGGAGCAAACA
rnacentral:rRNA from 1 species